rnacentral:rRNA from 1 species
UAGAGAGAGACAUGCGCGCAUAUCAAUAAGCGGAGGAAAAGAAACUAACAAGGAUUCCCUUAGUAACGGCGAGUGAAGCGGGAAGAGCUCAAAUUUGAAAUCUUCAAGGUCUUACCUUGACGAAUUGUAGUUUAAAGAAGUGUUUUCUGCUGAAGUUUUGGUAAAAGUUCUUUGGAAUAGGACAUCAUAGAGGGUGAGAAUCCCGUAUUUGACCAUUAUUUUCAGCUUUGUGAUACACUUUCAAAGAGUCGGAUUGUUUGGGAAUGCAGUCCAAAAUGGGUGGUAAAUUUCAUCUAAAGCUAAAUAUUGGCGAGAGACCGAUAGCGAACAAGUACCGUGAGGGAAAGAUGAAAAGAACUUUGAAAAGAGAGUUAAACAGUACGUGAAAUUGUCAAAAGGGAAGCGUUUGACACCAGUGUUGUUUUCUCGAAAAUCAAUUAAAAAUGGCUCGAUUUUGUAUUGCUUGAGACCUUAAAAGCUCACUGUACAUUUUUCGUGUCUUUUUUAAUGCACUUUUCGUUUAACAAGUCAACAUCAGUUUCUUUUGUUGUAAAAGGGUCAUUGGAAGGUGGCUUUCUUUUCGGAGAAAGUGUUUAUAGCCUUUGGCCUCUGCAAUCGGAAGAGACUGAGGUCUGCAGCGUAGACUCUUCGGGGUUAGAUACAUUUGUGCUAAGUUAUAGCUUUUUAUAGACAACUUGUUGACUAUAAUUAGUCUUGUAGCUUACUCGCUUAUGCUAUUUUACCUACGCUUAGGAUGUUGAGUCGUAGAGCACGCAG